AAUGGAGUAACGAUUUCCCUAYUGUCUCCACCAUGAACUCGGUGAAAUUGCAUUACGAGUAAAGAUGCUCGUUACGCGCAGCAGGACGGAAAGACCCCGGGACCUUUACUAUAGUUUGGUAUUGGUGAUUGGGACGGUUUGUGUAGGAUAGGUGGGAGACGUUGAUGCGGCCACGCUAGUGGUGG
rnacentral:rRNA from 1 species